UACGUAGGUGGCAAGCGUUGUCCGGAAUUAUUGGGCGUAAAGCGCGCGCAGGUGGUUCCUUAAGUCUGAUGUGAAAGCCCACGGCUCAACCGUGGAGGGUCAUUGGAAACUGGGGAACUUGAGUGCAGAAGAGGAAAGUGGAAUUCCAAGUGUAGCGGUGAAAUGCGUAGAGAUUUGGAGGAACACCAGUGGCGAAGGCGACUUUCUGGUCUGUAACUGACACUGAGUCGCGAAAGCGUGGGGAGCAAACAGG
rnacentral:rRNA from 1 species